CAACUUCCACCUGGCAUACCUCUUCAUUUAUGCCUCAUAGGCUUAUACCCUUGAGCGUAUUCUGGUUAUCUGUGCUGAAUUCCAAUUAUCUGGUAUUGUUUUUGCUGAUUGAAGUCCCUUUUCAUGUUGGUGCCUUUGUUAAUCAAUAUGAACCAUGAAGUGGUCUCUAUGUUCCMCUAUGUUGAUGCUGAUGCUUUGAUAUUUUGGCCCAUUGAGCUGUGUUAGGUAUCCAAGAUACGGAAAAUUCUGUGGGCGUGGGGUCUAUAAUGGCUCUUGUUUUUCCCUCGUUUAGCAUUCUUUCAAAACGACAGUUCAUGCACGCCUAGGCUCGUACCUGUGUGAUGAUUCUUGUCAAAGAAGAAUGCUACCUGGUUGAUCCUGCCAGUAGUCAUAUGCUUGUCUCAAAGAUUAAGCCAUGCAUGUGUA
rnacentral:misc_RNA from 1 species